rnacentral:rRNA from 1 species
GACGAACGCUGGCGGCGUGCCUAAUACAUGCAAGUAGAACGCUGAAGGAGGAGCUUGCUUCUCUGGAUGAGUUGCGAACGGGUGAGUAACGCGUAGGUAACCUGCCUGGUAGCGGGGGAUAACUAUUGGAAACGAUAGCUAAUACCGCAUAAGAGUGGAUGUUGCAUGACAUUUGCUUAAAAGGUGCACUUGCAUCACUACCAGAUGGACCUGCGUUGUAUUAGCUAGUUGGUGGGGUAACGGCUCACCAAGGCGACGAUACAUAGCCGACCUGAGAGGGUGAUCGGCCACACUGGGACUGAGACACGGCCCAGACUCCUACGGGAGGCAGCAGUAGGGAAUCUUCGGCAAUGGACGGAAGUCUGACCGAGCAACGCCGCGUGAGUGAAGAAGGUUUUCGGAUCGUAAAGCUCUGUUGUAAGAGAAGAACGAGUGUGAGAGUGGAAAGUUCACACUGUGACGGUAUCUUACCAGAAAGGGACGGCUAACUACGUGCCAGCAGCCGCGGUAAUACGUAGGUCCCGAGCGUUGUCCGGAUUUAUUGGGCGUAAAGCGAGCGCAGGCGGUUAGAUAAGUCUGAAGUUAAAGGCUGUGGCUUAACCAUAGUAGGCUUUGGAAACUGUUUAGCUUGAGUGCAAGAGGGGAGAGUGGAAUUCCAUGUGUAGCGGUGAAAUGCGUAGAUAUAUGGAGGAACACCGGUGGCGAAAGCGGCUCUCUGGCUUGUAACUGACGCUGAGGCUCGAAAGCGUGGGGAGCAAACAGG